rnacentral:lncRNA from 1 species
AAGCGCCCGCCAGGACAGGCUCCUGGUGGGUUGUAAGGAGAACGGCAGGAAGAAGUGCUCCCAGGAAGCUGCCUAGCCACCGCCACCACCACAGGGUUCCAUCCAAGACUUAUGGCAUCAGGAGCUUUGAAUUGUCUCAUCUCCAAGACUCUGAAGGUCCUUACAACACUAGCAAUCCCCUUCAUGCCUUAGGGGACCUCUACAUGAUGUCCUGCUCAGAUGAUGGAAAGCCAGCCCCCUUCCUCUUGCAAACUGGCUUCUUGCACAGUCACCUGGCCUUAGACUAGAACCAUGGCUCUCAAAUUUCAAGGAAAGUAUGAUCAAGCAGUUCAUCAGGAAGCACAAAUGCCACAUGGACAGGGCAAUUCUUUUUCAAGAAGACCCACAGACUUCUCCUGGCUAGGUUCUGAAGAAGCCACAAAAAUCUGUCCUUCCACUAGGCUUUCAGGAGAGAUGAACCGUCUCCAUUUCCAUCAGUCACUCAGCUCUUCCCCAACACCACAGACAACUGGCCACCUUGGAGACUCUUCCAAGUUUCCUGCAGCAGACUCUUUAGUUGUUAUAAUGUUCCAGAAACUGAAGUGGGAAUGGAAGCUAUCAAGUUUUCUGUAUUCCAAAAAUUGUCUCCAGCACAUUCCCUGAGAAAGUGUUGCAUCCUUGCCCUGAACACCUUCCAACAGAAUGACUAAGGAAUACUCAAUGCUAGACCAUUCCAGCCUGUUCACCCACCAAGAGGUGGAACUUGUCUGAAGCUACAGGACCACAAUUGACCAUACCCUCCCCUCCUUCUUUGCUUUAUCUUUUUGGAUCAUAUUCUGCUUAUUAUUAACAUUUUUAAACUAUGAGACUUAAAGAUAAUCUGUUCUAAGCCCCUAAUCUUGUACAUGACUUUUCAUAUUUAAUCAUAAACAUAAAUGACAUCAAACAUUAAACCCAUCUGCCAAUCCAGUGUUAAAUGAUGCUAAAGUAGUUUGUGGUAAAACUGGGCCCAUGUCUCCUCUCUCUCAGCUUAUUGACCUUUCUGCUACAUCACAAUGUUGUACUUAUGUUGAAAUGUCACACUUUACAUCUUCUGCAAAUAUUCCCUCUAGGUUUAACUUUUCCAACAAAAUAUCUCAUCAUGUUUUUGUCUUUUCAUUUUUGUUCUUGAAUAAGUAAUACAUUUACUUGUUUCAAACUCAAAGCAAUGUAAAGGUAUACUCUGAGAAGUCAUGCUACCACCCAAGUCUCCAUCCACUUCAUUCCGGAUUUUUCUCACUUUUUCAUAGGUUUAUAAUCAUAUUACUUUUGACAUUUAGGUCAUUUGAAUAAGAUUCAAUCUAUAAGACCUGCCUUCUUAAACCUUGUUUUGGUCCUCUCUGAGAUUCGAUGCCACUAUUUGGCCAGUUAAAACUAAGCGGCCCUUUUUGCUUAAGUUUAAUUAUACAUGAUCGAUCUUCUUCAAAAUGUAGGUGAAGUUUCUCUACUAUCCAGCACAUGAUAUGGCCAAUGCCACUACAUAAAAUAUUUCUUUUGAUGGACACUAAAAUAAUAAGCAUACAUAAAGUAUCAUAAUAGCUUAAUAAUAAUUCAGUAUUUUGGAGUUGCCAAGUAUAAAACUGGAGGCUUCAGAAUUAAUUUUAAGGAUUGAGCCCUGGUUAUUAGCAGACACAUGUCUGCUUUAAAACUUUGUCCUUUUCACUAUUAGAAAGCCAAAGGCUGCUUUGGCUCUUAGAACCUUAGUAGAGCCUCAGAAUUGACCCAUUAGGCUAGUCUCUGAUUAAAUGGACCCCAAAGUGUUAGCCUGAACUCUUUUGUUAAUUGCCUUGAGUGAGUUUGCCUAAUCUAUCAAAGGAACGUGUGAAACCUCUGAUCUGUAUGGCAGCCUUAAGAUUUCUGAUCUUCAUUAUCUUCUAUAAUAGUACAACACUUUUGUAUUUUUCAGUUCCUUUUCAAUCCCCUGAUAAGAAUGACGAUCCCCUACCUAAGAAAGCCAGCAUCCCUAAAGGAAAAUAAAUACUGAGGACUUUACGCAAAGCAAAGAAAUGGAUGUAAAGACGUGGAUCCUCAUUGCCCUCACAAUACUUCUUUUCCUUGAAAAAAGGCUGAGAAUGGAUAAAGAUAAAUUUAGGCACAGUAAGGACAAAGAUAAAGAAUAGCAAGAACUUGUAGCUUGGAUUAUUGAUGCCAGAGAAGUGGAGACCCCAUGUGGAGAAUAUUUUUACCCGUUUCCCACCACUGCUUCCCGGAGAGAGAUAAUCUGGGACCCCUGUGAGUAUAGCCCAGCUGGCAACCUUGCCAUAUUUCCAUCCUGCAAGGCUUCAGGACGGCGCAGGAACUUCUAGGUCAGUCUAAACACUAAACAAGAACAUUAGCCUUAACAACACAAAUUAGUAAUUCAUUUCUUCCUUAUGUAGCUGAGCACUUAAUGAUCCAAAUCUUGGCGACUGAGUUGGGUAAUAGUUCAUUGCUGGAUGACCCAUCUUGACUUUCAAAGUUGCUAUUGUUUUUACAUUAUCUUCAAGUGUUAUCAUUAGGUUGUGAGCAAGACUAAUUUUCUAAAUCAUUCCCAAUCUCCCCAACCCUUUUUCACUGAAUAAUAUCAUCAACAGGCUGCACAAAUUGGACAUCUGAGAUUUAGUUGAAUUAGUAACACCUAAAAGAUCAUUUAUGGCUGCAGCAAUAAGCCUCCCAUUUCAUCUAAUUAGAGAGCAAGAUUAUUUCCCUAAAUCCCCACUAAUAUUUUGAGUUGACAAACAAUGAAGCAAUCCUGAUAAAGUGAAUAAAUGAGUUUCA